CGCGCAUUAAAAAACAACAACUUUCAAACGGAGGCGAGCGCGCACAGACCCAACAGUAACGUUACACAAAGCUCUACCGUUAUAUGAAUCGCGAUAUCUUGCCGAGAAACGGGCCGAGAGUCGCACAGGAGGUGGGUCUGCCCAUGCUGAAGGUCUCGGCUCCGGAGCUGGUGUCAGGAGUUUCUGGGGAAUCAGAGCAGAAGUUGCGGGGACUGUUUGAGCAAACCAUAAGCCAGUGAAGGGCAUCCGAGAGAGCUGCGUUCACUUUGAAGACUCCUUCAAGAAGGUGCCACCGUCUGUCUCCAAGAAGACAAGAAUCUUAUAGUGAGAGAAACCCAGUCUUCAGAUGUGUCCUGGACUGAUCCAUCAGCAAUCCUCCAGGGUUUUGAGAGAGAGAUUGUGUGUGUGUGUGUGUGUGUGUGUGUGUGUGUGUGUGUGUGUGUGUG